rnacentral:rRNA from 1 species
CCCUUAGAUGUUCUGGGCCGCACGCGUGCUACACUGAGCGGAUCAGCGGGUCAGGUUGCGCGAAAGCGUUUCCUAAUCUUUAAAUCCGCUCGUGAUGGGGAUUGACGGUUGCAAUUUUCUGUCAUGAACGAGGAAUACCUUGUAAGCGCGGGUCAUCAUCCCGCGCUGAAUACGUCCCUGCCCUUUGUACACACCGCCCGUCGCUCCUACCGAUUGAGUGGUCCGGUGAGGCUUUGGGAUCUGAGCGGAAAGAGCGUUUCGCUGUUUCUGCUCGGAAAACUCAGUCGAACCUUAUCAUUUAGAGGAAGGGGAAGUCGUAACA